rnacentral:rRNA from 1 species
UCAAGCUGAAAAGAGCGCAAGGGGAAUGCCUUGGCAUCAGGAGCCGACGAAGGACGUGACAAGCUGCGAUAAGCCACGGGGAGGAGCAAAUAUCCGCUAUAUCCGUGGAUUUCCGAAUGGGGGAACCCGCUCAAGCAAUACUUGAGCAUCGUGCGUUGAAUCAAAUAGGCGUACGAAGGGAACGGCCUGAACUGAAACAUCUAAGUAGGGCCAGGAAAAGACAUCAACCGAGAUUCCGCUAGUAGUGGCGAGCGAACGCGGAGGAGGCCAAACCGGAGGAUUUUAUUCUCCGGGGUUGCGGACAGACAUCAAGACCAGAGGUAAUUAAGAGAACGGCGUGGGAAAGCCGGCCAUAGAAGGUGAGAGCCCUGUAUCUGAAAAUGAAGACUGGCAGUCUGGAUCCAGAGUACCGCGGGACACGUGAAACCCCGUGGGAAACCGGGUGGACCACCAUCCAAGCCUAAAUACUACCUGAUGACCGAUAGAGGAGCAGUACCGUGAGGGAAAGGUGAAAAGGACCCCGGGAGGGGAGUGAAAGAGAACCUGAAACCUUGUGCUUACAAGCAGUCAAAGCGCGUUAAAGCGUGAUGACGUACUUUUUGUAGAACGGUCCGGCGAGUUAUAGUAACGAGCAAGCUUAAGGUAUUGAGUACCGGAGGCGAAGCGAGAGCGAGUCUGAAUAGGGCGUAAAGUUCGUUGCCAUAGACCCGAAACCGGGUGACCUAUCCAUGAGCAGGCUGAAGUGAGAGUAAAAUCUCAUGGAGGGCCGAACCGACCCCCGUUGCAAUGGUGGCGGAUGACUUGUGGAUAGCGGAGAAAUUCCAAUCGAACUCGGAGAUAGCUGGUUCUCCCCGAAAUAGCUUUAGGGCUAGCGUUAUGUUAGAUUACCGGAGGUAAAGCACUGAAUGGUGGCGGGGCCGAUAAGGUUACCAAGACCUAUCAAACUCUGAAUGCCGGAUAAUUGAUGCAUAGCAGUCAGACAGCGUGAGAUAAGUUUCGUUGUCAAAAGGGAAACAGCCCAGACCCACAGCUAAGGUCCCAAAUUCAUGCUAAGUGGAAAACGAUGUGGAAUUGCGAAAACAACCAGGAUGUUGGCUUAGAAGCAGCCACUCAUUAAAAGAGUGCGUAAUAGCUCACUGGUCGAGUGACUCUGCGCGGAAAAUAUAACGGGGCUAAGCAUGAAACCGAAGCUUGGGCUUGUCUUAGGACAGGGGUAGGGGAGCGUCGAGUAUGGGGUGAAGUCAGAGCGGAAGCACUGGUGGACUGUACUGGAGUGAGAAUGCCGGAAUGAGUAGCGAGAAUUAUGUGGGAAUCAUAAUGGCCGAAAAUCUAAGGUUUCUUGGGGAAGGUUCGUCCGCCCAAGGUAAGUCGGGAGCUAAGCUCAGGCCGAGAGGCGUAGGCGAUGCACAUACGGUAGAAAUUCCGUAACCACCGAAACUUAAACAGAGGGACACUUCGAAAUAGCGGAACCCGGGCGUUGGUUGACCCGGGCGUAAGGGAGCGAAAUUAGAGUAGCGAAGUCCGCGAUGUUCGGAGGCGAGAAAAGCUCUGAGGUAUGCUAAGGUGCCCGUACCGCAAACCGACACAGGUAGAUGAGGAGAGAAUCCUAAGGCCAACGGGAGAAGGGUUGUUAAGGAACUCGGCAAAUUGACCCCGUAACUUCGGAAGAAGGGGAGCCCCCUACGGGGGGUCGCAGAGAAAUGGCCCAAGCAACUGUUUACCAAAAACACAGGUCUAUGCUAAAUCGAAAGAUGACGUAUAUGGGCUGACGCCUGCCCGGUGCCGGAAGGUUAAGAGGAGAUGUCAGGCAACGAAGCAUUGAAUUUAAGCCCCGGUAAACGGCGGCCGUAACUAUAACGGUCCUAAGGUAGCGAAAUUCCUUGUCAGGUAAGUUCUGACCCGCACGAA